rnacentral:rRNA from 1 species
AGCCAAGUAGCGUGAAGGAUGACUGCCCUAUGGGUUGUAAACUUCUUUUAUAAAGGAAUAAAGUCGGGUAUGCAUACCCGUUUGCAUGUACUUUAUGAAUAAGGAUCGGCUAACUCCGUGCCAGCAGCCGCGGUAAUACGGAGGAUCCGAGCGUUAUCCGGAUUUAUUGGGUUUAAAGGGAGCGUAGAUGGAUGUUUAAGUCAGUUGUGAAAGUUUGCGGCUCAACCGUAAAAUUGCAGUUGAUACUGGAUAUCUUGAGUGCAGUUGAGGCAGGCGGAAUUCGUGGUGUAGCGGUGAAAUGCUUAGAUAUCACGAAGAACUCCGAUUGCGAAGGCAGCCUGCUAAGCUGCAACUGACAUUGAGGCUCGAAAGUGUGGGUAUCAAACAGGAUUAGAUACCCUGGUAGUCCACACGGUAAACGAUGAAUACUCGCUGUUUGCGAUAUACUGCAA